GGAGAGGUGACCGAGAGGCUGAAGGUGCACGCCUGGAAAGCGUGUGUACGCUAAACCCGUACCGGGGGUUCGAAUCCCCCCUUCUCCGCCA
rnacentral:tRNA from 1 species